rnacentral:rRNA from 1 species
AUGGACGGCGACAGCCCGGUGAUGACGGACAGCGAGCGGAGGGCGUACCGGUACAUGCAGGCGCCCAAGGUGCAGGGCCUGGGCGGCAUCAAGAACUCAUGGUCCAACGACUCCCUCUUCAGCCUCAGCUACGCCGGCGCGGGGGGCAGGGCCGUCGUCCACUCGUGCGUCUGCGCGCCCACCACGCACCCGGGCUCCUUCCGCUGCAAGCACCACCGCCAGAGCGCCGCCCACCUCGGCGUCGCCGGUCACGCGCAAGCGCAGCCCACGGCUGAGGCCGACCCCGACGCUAAGCGCAACGAGGUCCACGGAGAAAUGUCGACCGCGGAUGACGAGAAGGCGUCGUGA